UACGUAGGGUGCGAGCGUUGUCCGGAAUUAUUGGGCGUAAAGGGCUCGUAGGCGGUUUGUCGCGUCGGGAGUGAAAUCCACUGGCUUAACUGGUGGCUUGCUUUCGAUACGGGCAGACUGGAGGUAUGCAGGGGAGAACGGAAUUCCUGGUGUAGCGGUGAAAUGCGCAGAUAUCAGGAGGAACACCGGUGGCGAAGGCGGCCAGCUAGACCAGUUCUGACACUGAGGCGCGACAGCGUGGGGAGCAAACAGG
rnacentral:rRNA from 1 species